GACGAACGCUGGCGGCGUGCCUAAUACAUGCAAGUUGAGCGCUGAAGGUUGGUACUUGUACCGACUGGAUGAGCAGCGAACGGGUGAGUAACGCGUGGGUAAUCUUCCUUUUUUCGGGGGACAACAUUUGGAAACGAAUUCUAAUACCGCAUAAAAACUUUAAACACAAGUUUUAAGUUUUAAUGAUGCAAUUGCAUCACUCAUAGAUGAUCCCGCGUUUUAUUAGUUAGUUGGUGAGGUAAAGGCCCACCAAGGCGAUGAUACAUAGCCGACCUGAGAGGGUGGUACGCCAAAUUGGGAAUGGGAAAAGGCCCAAAAUCCUAAGGGAGGCAGCAGUAGGGAAACUUCGGCAAUGGAGGAAAGUCUGAACGAAGAACGCCGGGGGAGUGAAGAAGGUUUUCGGAUCGUAAAACUCUGUUGGUAGAGAAGAACGUUGGUGAGAGUGGAAAGCUCAUCAAGUGACGGUAACUAAACAGAAAGGGACGGCUAACUACGUG
rnacentral:rRNA from 1 species